AUUGAACGCUGGCGGCAUGCCUUACACAUGCAAGUCGGACGAGUGGCGAACGGGUGAGUAACAUAUCGGCACGUACCGAGUAAUGGGGGAUAACUAAUAGAAAGAUUAGCUAAUACCGCAUACUAUUCGAGCGGCCGAUAUCUGAUGAGCUGGUCGGUGGGGUAAAGGCGUACCAAGGCGACGAUCAGUAGCGGGGCUGAGAGGAUGAGCCGGCAAACUGGGACUGAGACACGGCCCAGACUCCUACGGGAGGCAGCAGUGGGGAAUUUUGGGCAAUGGGCGCAAGCCUGAUCGAGCCAUGCCGCGUGUCUGAAGAAGGCUUGCGGGUUGUAAAGGACUUUUGUGAGGGAAGCGGUACCUGAAGAAUAAGCACCGGCUAACUACGUGCCAGCAGCCGCGGGAAUAC
rnacentral:rRNA from 1 species